rnacentral:rRNA from 1 species
GACGAACGCUGGCGGCGUGCUUAACACAUGCAAGUCGAGCGGUAAGGCUCCUUCGGGAGUACACGAGCGGCGAACGGGUGAGUAACACGUGAGCAAUCUGCCCUUCACAUCGGGAUAAGCACCGGAAACGGUGUCUAAUACCGAAUACGACCACUUCCGGCAUCGGAUGGUGGUGGAAAGUUCCGGCGGUGAAGGAUGAGCUCGCGGCCUAUCAGCUUGUUGGUGGGGUAACGGCCCACCAAGGCUUCGACGGGUAGCCGGCCUGAGAGGGUGACCGGCCACACUGGGACUGAGACACGGCCCAGACUCCUACGGGAGGCAGCAGUGGGGAAUAUUGGACAAUGGGCGAAAGCCUGAUCCAGCAACGCCGCGUGAGGGAUGACGGCCUUCGGGUUGUAAACCUCUUUCAGCAGGGACGAAGCGCAAGUGACGGUACCUGCAGAAGAAGCACCGGCCAACUACGUGCCAGCAGCCGCCGUAACAC